UCCUCUUCCAGGGGAUCUUCCUGUCCCAGGGAUCGAACCCACAUCUCCUGCAUCUCCUGCAUUGGCAGGUAGAUUCUUUACCACUGAGCUCCCUGGGAAGCCCCUGGGUCUCUGCCAUUCACUGGUUAAAUAACUUGUACUAGAGGUGAUCUUCGCAUUAGAAGAGCACUUGGCAAGAUUUAAAAAGGUUUCUGGGUAAGCUUCCUGACCUCUCAGGGUCUCAUUCCCACUCUCUGCUCUGGGCAUCGCUAGAAGAUGUUCACUUUCCUAGCGAGGCUAGGCCAGGCUGCAAAGUGACAAGAAGGACUUAAAUAAGCAGUGAAAGCAAAAGGCAUAAUUCUGCUUAAGCUUCUUGGCUAAAUAGAGAACCUGAUGAUUCUGGGAGAUGUGGCCAGUGGUGCUCACACUCUGGGAUGCCAGGCUGGAGCACACACAAGGCAGGUAGAUUUAGUGGGUGUUUUAGGAGUUGAAUCUGACGUCACAACUUGUCUGGGAGGAACAUGCAUAUACUUGCAAAGAUAUGUUCCCAUAUAGUGUAAUUGUCGGUGCUUUAAUUCAGGCGUCACUCCUGUCUUACCCUCUGUGCAUGGCUUUCCUCCUCCAUUUUACUGCCCUAGGUAGACAGUGGGUGGGUUGCUGGGCAAGUACCUACAGUGGCUGGUGCUGCUUUAUAGCUCCUUGGCAUCCCCUGAAUCAGUUAACAUCCCAAGCUUUCCUGAGAGCCAGCCCCACCUCGUUCACAUUCUUAUUCCUUUCCUUUCCAAGAAAGAAGCUGGACUGUAGAGGAACUCCUGGCUGGCUAGUGUGCCUAGAAAGGGAGUUCCUUUCCUUUUCUUUCCAUGGGCACAAAUGAAACCAACAAGCACCCAGUUUCAAACUAUUCUAAUCCUUAAAAAAAAAAAGUUUAGGAGUUCACCAAACUAUUGUGAAUGAGUUUGAUUCUAAUCACUUGCUGGCAGGGAAUAUGGAAUAAAAUAUCUCAUUUGCAGUUGUUUAUUUCCUGUUGUGGCUUCUAUUUUCAUCUUUUAGUCACUUUGGUGAUAGUAAUCAAACCCUAAUCAUGGUGCGGCCACAAGUCACAGAGACCAAAAUAACUUGCAGCGGAGUUAUGACAAACAAGGAUGGAGUCAGCUAAAAGACCUGGCUACUUAAUCACUGGCCCCUGGCACCCGAAGGACUGCGGGGGCCGCCAUUUGACUAACCCCGCCAUUUGACCGACCGCUGGCUAAGCAUCUAGAGGAGAGAGGAAGCUGGAGGGAAAUUGCUCCAAGGCCCGUGGUCUUGAGCAGUCAGGGCCCCAGGGUGCGAGAGGAAGGAGGGCAGCAGAGUAUAUACAGGAAGUGGAGGAGAAGCAGGUGAACUGUCCACAACUGCCAGCGGGGAAACUGACAUGAAAGAGAAAGAGGAGAACAGAAAAAGAGAACUGGCAAACCCUCUACAGCUACAAGCAACUAAGCAAACACUAAAAUAAAUAGAUAAAUACCUCGUCUCGGGGAAGGCAGGAUUCCUCCUUUCAGGCCUUUUCUCAUGUUCAGUGGUUCUUGGAAAAGAAAGGUCGAGAGAGGCCCCAAAGGGCAGGUGGGUGUGUCGGUGUUGGGGCCAAGGACCAAGGCAGGGAUGAGGAUUUUUCCUUGCAGAAGCCAAAAAAGAAACAAUUGAAGAGGCCACAAAAAAAAAGUGUUGAAAAAAUAUCGACAUUUCUUGUGCAACUGUCCCCUGAAAAAUGUGUGCUCCCUCAGCCAUCCUGAACUGGCAACAAUACAACUGAAAGUGAUGGCUCAUGAAAGAAAGACAGCUUGAGUGAGGCCGAUGUGACAAUCUGCACUUCUUGGCUUAUCUUAGGAGAACGAGAAGGCAUGCUGUCAACUGAUCCAUAACAUUUGCCAGGUGACUCUCCAGGGCUCUCGGCUAGGUCCUGGGGGCCAGAGCGGGAGGGGCAGGGUGAAAUGAAUGUUCUUAGGAAGGAGUCGAGAGAAACCUCCAGGAAAAGCAAAGACCUAGGACAACAGAGACAUUCAAAUAUACAGUCACAAUUUCCUCCAGGGAUGGCCAUUGGAUGGCUGAAGAUAACGGCUGGAAGGGAAACUUAACUGCAUGUAACUUUCUGUACCUUUUCAACUUUGCACCUUGUGAAUGUACCACUUAUUCAAAAAUAUACUAAUUUGAAGGUUUGCUCUUUUUUUUUUUACUCCGUGUCUGCUUUUCUCAUUUCCUGAAAUUUGCUGUUCUGAUGUUCUUGUAGAAAAGGACGAGUUGGCAAGGUCCCAUGUGGAAGUGAGGCUGCAGACAGCGUCUCUCUCUGUGGGGCAGUUCCUACAGGAAGGCUGAUGACAACAGAGGCCAAUGUGUCAUCCCAGACGGCAAGGGCGGAGGCUGCCUUGUCAUGACCCUGGCAAGAGUCGAAAUAAUUUUGCUGCUGAUGGUGACAAGCGAGGAGGAAGGUGACGGGGGAAGAAGCUGCCCAGUGAAGUCUCCAUCCCACCUUUCUCCAUAAACAUUUAUUUUGCAGGCUUUCAAAGUCUGUGGAAUACAAUGUUAUUCAGCAUUGCUCACAUCUAGUAGACCCAUAAAGAAAAAUUGCAGUAACAUUCAGCGAGAGGUAGAAGGGAUUUUAAAGUCGUCCUCAGCAGUUCAGGCCUCAAAACCUGUGAUCCGUGGUCAAGUUUCCAUAACGCAAUAUAUUUUCUCAAAUGCGAAAUUAUUAGAUAAUUUUGCUUUUUUUGUUUUAUUGAUUUUUGAAUAUGUAAUACACGCUCAGUGCUACAUAGCUUAAAGAGGACAAAAGGGCGUGAAGAGAAAAGUAAGGCUUCCACUCAGGCCACUGACUUCUCCCUCAGGAGACGGCCCCAUCACAGCCAAAAAGAGAAGGUCCCCUCACCGCAGCCAGCAGGACGCAAGCCAUCAGCAUCUCCCUGGGGACUGCUGCCCACAGUACUUUGCCCACUUGUGCAUCUGGCUCACUGAGACCCGCCAACCCCCUUCUGCUGAGGCUGGUCUCAGUGCUGGCCUGACUGCACCACCACCCAGCAGUCUUUCUACAGCCCUCGGAACAAGGGCUUUCCAGGUGACGCCAGUGGUAAAGAACCCGCCUGCCAAUACAGGCUAGACAGAAGAGACGCAGAUUCCACCCUGGGUCAGGAAGAUCCGCUGGAGGAGGGCAUGGCAACCCGCUCCAGUAUUCUUGGCUGGAGAAUCCCGUGGAGAGAGGAGCUUGGUGGGCUACAGUCCAUAGCGUCACACAGAGCCAGACAUGACUGAAGCACCUUAGCAGGCAUGUCCACCUACCCCGAUGACUCCUUGAGGGCAGAAGCCCUGUAUUAUAGCACAUCAAACACUGGCAUGGAGCAAGCACUCACUGAUACUGGCUGAACAAAAGACUGACCCAGAAGGAAAGAAUAAAUCAUUUCAUUUUUUUAAUUUUUGGUUGCAUUGAGUCUUCCUUGCUUUGCACGGGCUUUCGCUAGUUGCGGCGAACAGGGUCUACUCUCCAGUUGUGGUGUGCUGGCUUCUCUUGUUGUGGAGCACAGGCUCUAGAUGAGCAGGCUCUGCAGUUGGGGCUCACCGGCUUAGUUGCUCUGUAGUUGGAGUUCACUGGCUUAGUUGCCCCACAGAAGGUGGAAUCUUCUUGGACCAGGGAUGGAAUUUGUGUCCUCUGCAUAAACAGGCAGAUUUUUAACCGCCUUCCCACCAGGGAAGUCCAUAAACCAUUUCUUUUGAGAUGCUGUCCUUCCUAGUUCGAGGAAUCAAUAUGCCCUAUCUUUUUAUGAAAGGCGAUGAUAAUAGACAGUGUUUACUUAAAUACUUAUUUAGAAAAAUUAAAUGUUGACAAUUGAAGGGAGGGUCUCUCGAUGCAAAACCCUAAAGCUGAGAAACUACUACUUAAAGCCCAAGGAAAGAAUCUCAGAUCCAGAAAUCCUGGGGGAGUCUAAAUACCUUCCUGAAGAAUAAGUUGCCCUAAAGUCAAGGGGGGCAUAGUUAAAACUCUCAGUUACUCCCAAUUCUGUGUCCCUCCUUCCCUCCCUUUCCUGUCUGAGGCUCAUUACAUGCAUUUUCUCAGCCGGAGUUCCAUGAAGAUGGAGAGAAGAUCCCCUAAGAUCACGCACUUGGUUAGUAACACCUUCAGGUCCAGAACUCACCUAUCCCUCCAUCAACAUCUCUACGCC